CCCCGAGCAGCGGCUGCGCAGGCCGUUCCAGCCCCCCAAACCCCGGGAUGAGGAGUCGGAGUCGCAGCGCAAGGCCCGGAGCCGCCUGAUGCGCCAGGCCCGGAGAGCCACGCAGGGCGUGACCCUGACGGAGCUGAGGGCGGCGGAGCAGGGGAUUGGCCGAGCCGCCGAGGGGCGUGGCCAGGAGCAGCCAAUCAGGGACGAGGGGAG